rnacentral:rRNA from 1 species
ACGGAAGGCAGCAGUGGGGAAUAUUGGGCAAUGGGCGAAAGCCUGACCCAGCAACGCCGCGUGAAGGAAGAAGGUCUUCGGAUUGUAAACUUCUUUUAUGAGGGACGAAGGACGUGACGGUACCUCAUGAAUAAGCCACGGCUAACUACGUGCCAGCAGCCGCGGUAAUACGUAGGUGGCAAGCGUUAUCCGGAUUUACUGGGUGUAAAGGGCGUGUAGGCGGUUUGGCAAGUCAGAAGUGAAAUUCCCGGGCUUAACCCCGGAACUGCAUUUGAAACUGUAGCCCUUGAGUAUCGGAGAGGCAAGCGGAAUUCCUAGUGUAGCGGUGAAAUGCGUAGAUAUUAGGAGGAACACCAGUGGCGAAGGCGGCUUGCUGGACGACAACUGACGCUGAGGCGCGAAAGCGUGGGGAGCAAACAGGAUUAGAUACCCUGGUA